rnacentral:rRNA from 1 species
AGUCGAGGGGUAUGCUUCUUCGGGAGCAGAGACCGGCGCACGGGUGCGUAACGCGUAUGCAAUCUACCUUUUACAGAGGGAUAGCCCAGAGAAAUUUGGAUUAAUACCUCAUAGUAUAAUAGCUCGGCAUCGAGCAAUUAUUAAAGUCACAACGGUAAAAGAUGAGCAUGCGUCCCAUUAGCUAGUUGGUAAGGUAACGGCUUACCAAGGCUACGAUGGGUAGGGGUCCUGAGAGGGAGAUCCCCCACACUGGUACUGAGACACGGACCAGACUCCUACGGGAGGCAGCAGUGAGGAAUAUUGGACAAUGGGCGCAAGCCUGAUCCAGCCAUGCCGCGUGCAGGAUGACGGUCCUAUGGAUUGUAAACUGCUUUUGUACAGGAAGAAACAGUUCUACGUGUAGAACCUUGACGGUACUGUAAGAAUAAGGAUCGGCUAACUCCGUGCCAGCAGCCGCGGUAAUACGGAGGAUCCAAGCGUUAUCCGGAAUCAUUGGGUUUAAAGGGUCCGUAGGCGGUUUAAUAAGUCAGUGGUGAAAGCCCAUCGCUCAACGGUGGAACGGCCAUUGAUACUGUUAAACUUGAAUUAUUAGGAAGUAACUAGAAUAUGUAGUGUAGCGGUGAAAUGCUUAGAGAUUACAUGGAAUACCAAUUGCGA